UGGGGAAUCUUGCACAAUGGGGGAAACCCUGAUGCAGCGACGCCGCGUGAACGAUGAAGCCCUUCGGGGUGUAAAGUUCUUUCGGCAGGAACGAUAAUGACGGUACCUGAAGAAGAAGCUGCGGCUAACUACGUGCCAGCAGCCGCGGCAAUACGUAGGCAGCAAACGUUGUUCGGAGUUACUGGGCGUAAAGAGUACGUAGGCGGUUUGCCAAGUUUGGUGUGAAAUCUCCUGGCUUAACUGGGAGGGUGCGCCGAAUACUGGCAGACUUGAGUAUUGGAGAGGAAAGCGGAAUUCCUGGUGUAGCGGUGAAAUGCGUAGAUAUCAGGAGGAACACCGGUGGUGUAGACGGCUUUCUGGACAAUCACUGACGCUGAGGUACGAAAGCGUGGGUAGCAAACAGGAUUAGAUACCCAUGUAGUCCCUGAGCGGGCUGGCAAGGCGCAU
rnacentral:rRNA from 1 species